UGCCGGUUAGCGCCGUGACUGUUGGUGCCCGUUGGUGCCCGUGCCAGUGCCGCGCCGGGCGGCCCGUUUGGCCAAAGCUUUCUCAUCUUCUCCAGCGACGCCUCCUCUCUUCCUGAGCGCUGCCCGGGGCUGCAGCAUCCUCGAGCGCUGAGGCUGCCGCGGCCGCGGUCGUCACGACAUCCGCCGCACCUACCACGGCCGACCAGCGCCACCACGCCAGGAAGACAGAGCUCUCUAAGCUAGCGUCCGCCACGCACUCCAACGCUGCGCGCGCGAUCUUGUUCUGGAAGCUGUUUCGGCGCAGCCGCCUCCGCUGGCGCGCCCACCGAGCUCCCGUCAUCGAGCUCCGGUCGCCGUCACUCAUCCAGCACUGGCACGAGACCGAGGCCGUCGGCACGGCCCAGCUGCGGUGGCUACGCGGAGGCCUCGACGGUGCCCGUCUCCGAUACCACUCACUGCGCGGCCACCGCCGCAGCCAGCGGCACUCGGGUUCGACUGCCUCAAGUGAGGUCUACGGCGCCGCCGCCGUCACGUUCGGGCCCCCAACACCGGUGUCUACAGCUCAAGAUGGGAUUUCUUGACGCCAUCGAGCCCAAGGCGCCUCGCAACUCGACUCCCUCAAGCGGCUGGCGGCCGGCUCCACUCCCCGCAAGACAGGAGCCAGCGCAGGCAGCGGGGGCGGCGGCGCGCAGGCCCGCGUACGGCGACGGAGCGCCGGCCCUCGCACACAGGCAGCAACGACGGCGGCACCGCACAGCUCCACAGGCGGCCGCGGCUCCCCAUCUCCUCCCCGACCGCGCACGGCGGCCCCUCCCUAGCUCCUAGCUGGUACCCGGUGGCAGACAGCGCCGAACUCCGGCGGAGGCGCGGUGCGGGGCGGCUGAGCGGGCAGCACAGGCGUACAGCGCGCUAGCUGCCUGCACGGCGCCUGCAGGCUGCAAGUCGGAAGGAGGCGCAGUCACGCGGCCAGGCCUGCAGCCUCACCACCUCAAGGGCGUCGGAUGAAGUGGUUCUCCUCCAUAGGCUCAUCCACAAGCUGCUGCUGCAUCCGACUCAACAAACAUCGAUUCAGUUCACCUCACGCCAUAAUUGCUGUCUGCAAGGUGCUCGAUAGAAUGCUCCAGUGGCGACAUGAUGUUUGGAGCUCUGUUGGCAAAGGAGCCAUUCUUUGGCAAAGUUGAAGCUGGGUUAGCAUAUUUGCUCACUGCUGCUACUUCGUCUACAAUUUCAUACAUUCGAGUUCUUCCUCUCUUGUCCCUAACUGUGCAUUGGUCUUGUUAGUUGUUCCUCUUUUGGUUCAGUCUCACUAAUUUGUGUCGAGAGGACAACGGCUCAAGUGACUUCAGGGACAGAAUUCUAUAGAGCCUCUGCAACAGAAUUUAGUAUUUUAGCUUCUCACCUUAUAUCCAUACAUUUGCAACAACAAAGGGAAAAAGGAACAUUGUUUUUCUUUCAUAUUUCCAAUGGAAUCAAAUGUCUUCCUUGCGACCCAGCAUUGAGACCCAGCAUUGAGGGAUUCUGGAGGAAAGGUUCUUGAUAAUAUUAUUAUUCUCCUCUUAUGCCGGUCAAGACAUUGUCAUGUACCACGACAUACUUUCUUUCGACCUUUUACAGAUUAAUUGAGUUGUUACAUCCAUAUUUGCUUGAUACAGAUUUCAAUGAAUGAGUGUGAUACAAGGAGUCUUACGCCAGAAGCAGGUAAGCCUUCUAAAUCAGAAAAGGGUUCACAAGCUAAUUUCGUUGUCUGUCACCUGAGGAUGGAGAGAGCAAUUCUUUACUUGCACUCCAAAUUUUCGAUAAGCUUCAUACUGAAACUCCAACUGAAUACCCAUUGCUUUUUACUGUUUGGCACAUCCUUUUUGUUUCUUUGUAAUUUCUGGCUGCAUAUUCCAAAUAUAUCUUUCAUGGACUCGAGUCCAGCUAUUUUGGUCCCAAGAUAUAGUUUGGGAGUGAACAUUUUCAUUACAACUUGAAAUACACACAUGGUGAAGGGUUAUCAGCCAAUUAAGGGCAUGUUUGGCAGCACUCCACUCCACCAAAAACUGCUCCACUCCACCAACUCUAUAAAAUUGCCAUCCAAACAUGUACAGCUCCACCAACUCCAGCUCCAGAAAAAAGGUGGAGUUGAGGGGCAGAUCCACGUUUUUUGUGGAGUACCUCAAGAGGUGCUCCAGAAACAUUAGUUUCGUACCAACUCAUGGAGUUGCAAGAUAAUUACCCACUGCCACUGGUUACAACGUAACGGUUCAAUCCAACUCCUCCUUUCCUCAU